AGUGAACGCUGGCGGUAGGCCUAACACAUGCAAGUCGAACGGCAGCACAGUAAGAGCUUGCUCUUACGGGUGGCGAGUGGCGGACGGGUGAGGAAUACAUCGGAAUCUACUUUUUCGUGGGGGAUAACGUAGGGAAACUUACGCUAAUACCGCAUACGACCUACGGGUGAAAGCAGGGGAUCUUCGGACCUUGCGCGAUUGAAUGAGCCGAUGUCGGAUUAGCUAGUUGGCGGGGUAAAGGCCCACCAAGGCGACGAUCCGUAGCUGGUCUGAGAGGAUGAUCCGCCACACUGGAACUGGGACACGGUCCCGGAUCCUACGGGAGGCAGCCGUGGGGAAUAUUGGACAAUGGGCGCAAGCCUGAUCCAGCCAUACCGCGUGGGUGAAGAAGGCCUUCGGGUUGUAAAGCCCUUUUGUUGGGAAAGAAAAGCAGCAGGUUAAUACCCCGCUGUUCUGACGGUACCCAAAGAAUAAGCACCGGCUAACUUCGUG
rnacentral:rRNA from 1 species